UACGUAGGGGGCAAGCGUUGUCCGGAAUCAUUGGGCGUAAAGCGCGUGUAGGCGGUUCGGUAAGUCCGCUGUGAAAGUCGGGGGCUCAACCCCCGGAUGCCGGUGGAUACUGUCGAGCUUGAGUACGGAAGAGGCGAGUGGAAUUCCUGGUGUAGCGGUGAAAUGCGCAGAUAUCAGGAGGAACACCAAUUGCGAAGGCAGCUCGCUGGGACGUUACUGACGCUGAGACGCGAAAGCGUGGGGAGCAAACAGG
rnacentral:rRNA from 1 species